UCUAACUGAUUUUUGGGGUGGCAGAGCAUGGUAAUUGCAAAAGGCCUAAGCCCUUGCCACCGAGGGUUCAAAUCCCUCCCCCAAUU
rnacentral:tRNA from 1 species